rnacentral:misc_RNA from 1 species
UCGCGCCAUUACACGCGGAGAGCUGUGGCAGCCGCCGCCCCCCUCUCCUCCUCUCCUCCUCCUCUUCCACCUAUUCUUCCGCAUUCUCGAUAAACUCAGCAUUGCUGCCGUCGCCACUUCUUUUGAAUGGUGCGGGAUGCCAGUGGUAUUCUUCUCUGUCUCCUGCUCUUGUUUUGGUUGAGAAACCCGAGGACGUACAAUAAUAAGGUCUUGGAGGAUAGAAGGCCACCAGGCGGGGAGGAGGUGCUUCAUGCAACCUGUGAGUGGCACGAUAUUCCGGCGCAGCGGCGGGCUGCUGCCGAGUGCGCAAUCGACCUCUACUCUGUCACACUGGCGCCGUCGUCUCAGCACACUCGGUCGCAGAUUCGCCACAGCACGCGCGGCCCACGCAUCGGCUCCGACGUCGUCAGCCCUGUCGGCACACGACUUUGCCGCCAUCACCCCGCUUCUUCUUCUGCGCCAAAUGCUGCAGCAGCACACCCAGCUUGACGGUAUCGACUUGGGUGCGCAGCUCCACCCCGGCAAACAACACAUCGUCAUUUCUCGCACCAAGUUUUGCCAUUUCUGCGCUGCUUCGCACGUCGAGGACCCGGACGCCGCCCUGGCGGAUUUGGAAGCGGCGGGCGUGGUGGUGGUGCUGGACGGCGGAAGCAUGGUUCACCUGAGGCCGGUGCUGUACCUUGAAACUCUGGAGAUGAUCUGCAACGUAGCGAGGCCGUCAAGCAGCGGCAACGAGACGUCUGAGACGAACUCUAAGCCGUCAGUGGCGGUCCGCAGCUUCAUGGUGGAGGAAGCAGAGCGUCGUGUCGCGACGCUGACCGAGAGGGAGAAGGCGAUGCGAAAUCGACUGCAGCCCGCCAUCGCGCGAGCAGCUCGCUGGCGGCGCACAGUGUGGGGUGCUGCGCUGCUCUACGCCGGCGCUCAGCUCGCCAUUAUCUCCCGUCUCACCUACUUUGACCUAGACUGGGACAUCAUGGAGCCCGUCUCGUACAUGAUUACGGUUGCAAAUACGCUUUUCUUUUUUCUGUACUACCUGCGCUUCAACGAAGAGCACUCCUAUACCGCCUUUGAUCAGCGAUUCCUACCUCGAAAAGUGCGCCAGUACGCUCCCAGGGACUUCGACUGGGCGGCGUACGCGGACGUGUCCCAGCAGCUCGUUGAGGAGCGCGCGAUGCUAGAUUCCAUGUCGAAGUGGAGCGCGAAGCACUGAUGCAUCGACACAAAAACGAGAAGACAUGCUAGUGGCGAGCCAUUCCACUAGUCGAAGUUGUAGGGUUUAAAGAAUGUCUACUGUGUGCGUAUGAGAGCACGCCCUUCAAGAUGCUGGCCUCCCGCACUCUGUGUGCCAUGCGCACGGAUGUUUCUAUGAGGAACUCGCGAUGCAGAGCCUGUGAACCUAAUCUUUUUUUCUUUUUUUUUCGUGGCACCCCUCCCCUCUCCCCGACGGUAGCGUUGAGCCGUAGUGCGCGAGUGUGUGCGUCUGACU